rnacentral:rRNA from 1 species
GACGAACGCUGGCGGCGUGCUUAACACAUGCAAGUCGAGCGGAGCGGCGAACGGGUGAGUAACGCGUGAGUAACUGCCCCCCUCUCUGGGAUAACAGUUGGAAACGGCUGCUAAUACCGGUUAGUGGGGGGGGACUCGCGUCCUAUCAGCUUGUUGGGGGGGUAGUGGUUUACCACGGCGACGACGGGUAGUCGGCCUGAGAGGGCGACCGGCCACAUUGGGCUGAGAUACGGCCAAAACUCCAACGGGAGGCAGCGGUGGGGAAUAUUGACAAAUGGGGGAAACCCUGAUGCGGCAAGGCCGCGUGCGGGAUGCCGGCCUUCGGUUUGUAAACCGCUUUCAGCCAUGACGCGGUAGUGGCAGAAGAAGCACCGGCUAACUACGUGCCAGCCGCCGCGGUAAUAC